rnacentral:rRNA from 1 species
ACGGGGGGAGCAAGCGUUGUUCGGAUUUACUGGGCGUAAAGGGCGCGUAGGCGGCCUGCUAAGUCGAACGUGAAAUCCCCGGGCUCAACCCGGGAACUGCGUCCGAUACUGGCAGGCUUGAAUCCGGGAGAGGGAUGCGGAAUUCCUGGUGUAGCGGUGAAAUGCGUAGAUAUCUGGAGGAACACCGGUGGCGAAGGCGGCAUCCUGGACCGGCAUUGACGCUGAGGCGCGAAAGCCAGGGGAGCAAACGGGA